UAUCUCUGUAGAGUCUGCAUAUCAAUAAGCGGAGGAAAAGAAACUAACUAGGAUUCCCUUAGUAACGGCGAGUGAAGCGGGAAGAGCUCAAAUUUGAAAUCUUCAAGGUUCUACCUUGACGAAUUGUAGUUUAAAGAAGUGUUUUCUGUUGGAGUUUUGGUAAAAGUUCUUUGGAAUAGGACAUCAUAGAGGGUGAGAAUCCCGUAUUUGACCAUUAUUUCCAACUUUGUGAUACACUUUCAAAGAGUCGGAUUGUUUGGGAAUGCAGUCCAAAAUGGGUGGUAAAUUUCAUCUAAAGCUAAAUACUGGCGAGAGACCGAUAGCGAACAAGUACCGUGAGGGAAAGAUGAAAAGAACUUUGAAAAGAGAGUUAAACAGUACGUGAAAUUGUCAAAAGGGAAGCGUUUGACACCAGUGUUGUUUUCUCGAAAAUCAAUUAAAAAGUAUGGGAUUUUGUAUUGUUAAGACCUUAUCAGCUUACGGUACUUUUUUCUUAUUCUUUUUAAUGCACUUUUCGUUUAACAAGUCAACAUCAAUUUCUUUUGUUGUAAAAGAGGUCAUUGGAAGGUGGCUUUCCUUUCGGAGAAAGUGUUUAUAGCCUUUGACUUCCUGCAAUCGGAGAGACUGAGGUCUGCAGCGUAGAUCCUUCGGGGCUAGAUACGUAGAUGCUAAGUUAUAGUUUUUUAUAGACAACUUGUUGACUAUAAUUAAUCAUGUAGCUUACUCGUUUGCGCUAUUUUACCUACGCUUAGGAUGUUGAUCUCUCACAGUCGAGC
rnacentral:rRNA from 1 species